AGGAAAGCUGCCCACACAUCUCCAGGACCUCUGAGCACCAGAAUCCAUUUGAAAAUAUGCUGCCACAAAUACCCUUUCUGCUGCUAGUGUCCUUGACGCUGGUUCAUGGAACGUUUUAUGCUGAGCGGUACCAAACUCCCACAGGUGUGAAGAGCGCACUUGCCAGCCCCAGGACACAAUACUUCAUCCCAUACCCUAUAAAGGGUAAAGGUAACCUUAAUUAUUCACUCUGCUCUAUUUACCAGACAGCUGCUGUUUUUAAUAAUGUUAAUGAUGAGCUCCUUACCAAAAUAAUUUCCAGACUGGUCUUAUUCUAUGUUAAAGUCUUGAUUGGGUUGAAUUACUGCGGUGGAAUUAUGUGUGGCAAUGACAGAUCAGUAUAGCAACAUAAUAGCCUGGAGAAGUUGUUAUAAGAGAAAGACUGAGAAAUAUCAAAGACUUUUAUGCAUGGGGCCACCUUUUUUCCCUCAAAUGAUGGUUUCAUACAAUUAACUAAUUACCCGUACUCUAGAAAUAUUAAUUCAAUAAAAUUAAGUUAAACUAAAAACAAUUACAUACACUAGAAAUUUUAUGUAUCCAAUUACUUGAACAUUUGCUUUAAAAACCCUAGCCUGAAGAUAUUAAAGAAAACUGGUAUCAAAU
rnacentral:lncRNA from 1 species